GUGAACGCUGGCGGUAGGCCUAACACAUGCAAGUCGAACGGCAGCACAGGAGAGCUUGCCCUCUGGGUGGCGAGUGGCGGACGGGUGAGGAAUACAUCGGAAUCUGCCCAGUCGUGGGGGAUAACGUAGGGAAACUUACGCUAAUACCGCAUACGACCUUCGGGUGAAAGAGGGGGAUCGCAAGACCUCUCGCGAUUGGAUGAGCCGAUGUCGGAUUAGCUAGUUGGCGGGGUAAUGGCCCACCAAGGCGACGAUCCGUAGCUGGUCUGAGAGGAUGAUCAGCCACACUGGAACUGAGACACGGUCCAGACUCCUACGGGAGGCAGCAGUGGGGAAUAUUGGACAAUGGGCGCAAGCCUGAUCCAGCCAUACCGCGUGGGUGAAGAAGGCCUUCGGGUUGUAAAGCCCUUUUGUUGGGAAAGAAAUCUUUCAGGCUAAUACCCUGGGAGGAUGACGGUACCCAAAGAAUAAGCACCGGCUAACUUCGUG
rnacentral:rRNA from 1 species